CGCUGCCUCGGAGCGAGAGGUCGCGUGGGGUUGAUCCUCCCAGGGGCUGAGCAGGCUCGCAGCCGAAAUGUGGCCGCAUUGCUUCCGGACCCGAGAGGUACUGGCGAGGCAUGCGGGGUUGCUCGCUUUCCCCACUGGACGCGCAACCCGAAGACCCUAAUGGCAUCUUAGUGCUUCUACGGUUGCUUUUUUAUCCAGAGGAAAGUGUACACAAUAAAUCUUUCCUGGUGAUGGAGUGGGGUGAUAGGAAAACGGGGAGAGACAAGCAUCUGUCGCUACUGACCCCAUUUUGCUGAUGAAACUGAGCCUUUGAAGGAGACAGCCUAAUAAAAGGCACCCAAGGUCGAAAUCUUUAUAAAGAGCCGUAUAUAGGGACAAGGGUAAAAGCAGAUCACCAGCUGAGCCAGCCCGAAAUGCUUCCCAGUGGUCUAGUAUUGCAUAAUUGGCCGUGUGAAUUCCAGGGUUUCCAGUUUCGGAUGGAGGACUUGGUGCUGGUCACUCACGAGGAGAGAACUGAGACCUGGAGAAGUGAUAUAAGUUUGUAAGUGGCAAAGCUGGUAUUCAGUGACAACUCUGACUGGAAGCCCGAUCUCUCUUGCUUUUUUUUAAAGCAUUUAUUUACUCAAAUAAUCUGUACACCCAGCAUGGGGCUCGAACUCACGAC